rnacentral:rRNA from 1 species
UACGAAGGGGGCUAGCGUUGCUCGGAAUGACUGGGCGUAAAGGGCGCGUAGGCGGAUGGCACAGUCAGAUGUGAAAUUCCUGGGCUUAACCUGGGGGCUGCGCUUGAGACUGUGGUGCUAGAGGAUGGAAGAGGCUCGUGGAAUUCCCAGUGUAGAGGUGAAAUUCGUAGAUAUUGGGAAGAACACCGGUGGCGAAGGCGGCGAGCUGGUCCAUUACUGACGCUGAGGCGCGACAGCGUGGGGAGCAAACAGG